rnacentral:misc_RNA from 1 species
GGGGAGACAGAAGUAUGAAAAUCAAGCGGUUCGGAGAGGUGGCUGGUGGGACAGCCGCAGAGUGCACGGCGGUUUGUUGUUGCUGUCCAUGUACGGUGAUGAACAUCCUGGUGUUAGCGAUUUACAAGAUGCCGGNGAGGGCCAGGGAACGACACCGUGUGAUGAAGAGGCAGCAGCAGACAUUGUUGGUCCACGCUGGGAGAAAUGAUCUGUGUAGAGAGGAAUUAGAGAGGGAAGUGCAAGCGGUCGCAGAGAAACAAAAGCCCUGUGGCGGCGGUGAUGACGAUGAUGGAAAAACGGAGGCCGUUGAUCUAGAAAAGGAGAUGUGGGACCGUUUUUAUGCAACUGGGUUUUGGAGAAGCCCCUCUCAAAGAAGUACAUGAUGAUGAUGAUGAUGGGUUUUUUUUUUUUGGGUUUCUUUUGAUUUGAACUUUUUGCAAGGGAGACUGAGAGAGGACUGAAGCGAUUGUACCCUUAGGCCUUAGAUUCCCUGU